rnacentral:lncRNA from 1 species
AAACAAUGACAAUAAUAGCUAUACCUAAAAUUCACUGCAUUCUUUGUACAUGUCUGUUUGGUUGUAAAAUGUGUUAUCCUGUGCCAUCCUGGCCACUCCCUGGGAUGGGCUGUUCGGCCUGAAAACCACUGGUCCACCAACCGCCGUGCUGCGUAGCAAAGUGAGACCAAGAAACUGACCAACGUUGAAAGACAGUAAGGGACGCGUGGACUGACUCCUCCCGAAUCUGUCACGGCCUACACUGCCCACGUUAGGUCUUCCUUUUGCUUUCUCACUUAGUACCAAUACGUCGUAUCUCGAAUUUUUUCAAAUUUUAACAAAACUGACUAGGAUCCAUGAGGAUGUGGGUUCGAUUCCCCAGCCUUGCUCAGUGAGUUAGGAUCUGGCGUUGCCACAAGCUGCAGUGUAGGUCACAGACACAGCUUGGAUCCAGUGCUUCUGUGGCUGUGGUGCAGGCCAGCAGCUAUAGCUCUGAUUCAGCCCCUAGCCUGGGAACUUCCAUAUGCCUCGGGGGCAGCUAUAAGAAGCAAACAAAACAAAACAAAACAAAAUCACAGAAAGAAAAGAAAAAAGAGUAAGAGAUCUGUAAAAAAGAGUAAGAGACCCUGGCAGGGUGGUGGUACCCAGCUCACGGCAGGAUACCACAUCCAGCAUCACUGAGGAUGCGGGCUGUGCAUCUCAGGUGCUACCAGUGAGAUGAUCCCAGGGGCCUUUGGUGUGGCCCAGAAUGCCCUCACAUGCAGAGCAAAGAGCCACUCAUUCCAAUUCCAAUUGCACUUCCAUCCUGACUAUAUCGAGGUGAAAGGCCAGGUUUAAUGCAAGCCUCCCCUUGAUACUGUCCUGUCAAUCUCCAGUUCAAGCAAUGAAGGAGCCGGUCUCAGGCCCACCACCUUGGCAGGGUGCAGUAUUGAGUCAGAAUGUAAUGACGCUGUGUAAGUUUCAGGGCAUAAAUUCUUAGGGCUUUCUUCCUUUAAGACCACAAAGGAGAGUUUUUUGACUCACGGGGUAAGACCAAGCUUUCAAGAAAAGUUAACCUAAAUUAAAAAGUGAGUUGAUAUAAAAAUGUCGAGUCCAUCGUGUGCAGGUGGCUCACACAUGACCGUGAGGGAGCUCCGUGGGGCCUUUCCAACGUCCUUCUCCCAGACGUCGCAGCAUCAACUUCUCAUCUGCAAAGUGGAUAAUCACUUUUCAAGGUCAUUUCAACUUCCUCCUUCUUCUGAAAUGUGUCUGGGGAAACGCCAGGAUGCUCAUACAAGAAGGGGGAUAUGGAGAAAGGGGUGGGAGCAGCGAAGAGGCUGGAGUAAACAUGAACCUGAUUGAAAUAUAUUUUAUAAAUGCCUCAUUUCCCCCACUUCCAUGUGAGCCAACAGCCUUAGACCAUCUUAAAGAGCAUAUUGGCAAAUCGAAGGCACGCGCCCUGCCAAUCCAAAAGAAAAUGCAAUCCUGUAAUGAAUUAUGGAGAAGAUAAUUAAAAGUGAAAAGCUGAAAAGGAUUUCUGAGAUCAAGAGGCAUUUCAGUGUAUGGUUCCAUUGCUCAGGCACAUAUGCUUGCAUGUGAAACUCAGCAUCUCACAGGAGUAAUUUAUCAUCCAUGCAAAGCGUGUUCUCCUGUGCUAGAAGCUAGGGGUGCAGACAUGAAAAGGCAUGGUCCCUGCCUUCACGGACCCAGUGGCGAGGACACGGUGGCCCCCCACUUCUUCCAAACAUCCCUCUUUAUUCUCUUCCAUCCGUUGAGAAACUACUAUGUCCCAAGCCAGGGAUUUUGGUUGAUUGUGGAC